UGCAGCCCCGUCAAAUUCGGUCCCUGCCCGCUCUGUGGCAAGGACCGGCCAAACGGCUGCCACAGCAACUUUUGUGGUCCAAGAGCCCCAUGUCCCCUUCCCGUGGGACACAGGGGGGUAAAAUCACACUACAGACCUAU
ensembl:snoRNA small nucleolar RNA SNORA5